rnacentral:rRNA from 1 species
GACGAACGCUGGCGGCGUGCUUAACACAUGCAAGUCGAACGGAAAGGCCCUGCUUUUGUGGGGUGCUCGAGUGGCGAACGGGUGAGUAACACGUGAGUAACCUGCCUUGACUUUGGGAUAACUUCAGGAAACUGGGGCUAAUACCGGAUAGGAGCUCCUGCUGCAUGGUGGGGGUUGGAAAGUUUCGGCGGUUGGGGAUGGACUCGCGGCUUAUCAGCUUGUUGGGGGGGUAGUGGCUUACCAAGGCUUUGACGGGUAGCCGGCCUGAGAGGGUGACCGGCCACAUUGCGACUGAGAUACGGCCCAGACUCCUACGGGAGGCAGCAGUGGGGAAUAUUGCACAAUGGGCGGAAGCCUGAUGCAGCAACGCCGCGUGCGGGAUGACGGCCUUCGGGUUGUAAACCGCUUUCGCCUGUGACGAAGCGUGAGUGACGGUAAUGGGUAAAGAAGCACCGGCUAACUACGUG